GUGAGCACUGUGUACUGGUACCAUGGCCCCAGGUCUGGGCGAGGGAUGGAAAUAAGGACAGUGCCACUAGGGCCUCCUGUCUGUGCAGGAAGGGCCUUGAGACAGCUCCUCAAACCCCUUUCCCAUUAUACGGAUGGUGCAGAUGGGGACACUGAGGUACAGAGAGACAGUCAGUUGUCCUCAGAACUGGAUCCAGAACCUCGUCUCCUGGCAUGGCCUCCAGUGCAGCACCACGUGUGGCCUCCGAACUCCCAGUCUGGGAUUGGGGGAGCUCUGGUCCUUGGGGGACCACUAUGCUCUUUUGGAGUUGUCAACUUGGUAGGAACCCUCUGGUUCCAAGGCUGUGCCUUUGUGGCCCUCUCCUGGCAUCCUUCUGUCCCUUUAGGAGGUCCUACUACCCUUUUCUUCUGAGCCUGGACAACUCCUUCCCUUGCCCCCAGGAGCCCACAGCCGGCUGAACCAAUUAACUGGUCAGCUAGAACCAACCAGCAGGGGAGGUGCACUCCAGGGGGGCUUCUUGGAGGAGGCAGUAUUGGAGUCAGAGAACGUGCUGGCCAAAGCCCUCUAUGACAAUGUGGCC
rnacentral:sRNA from 1 species